rnacentral:rRNA from 1 species
GAGAGGUGCUGCAUGGCUGUCGUCAGCUCGUGUUGUGAAAUGUUGGGUUAAGUCUCGCAACGAGCGCAACCUCUAUCGUCUGUUGCCAGCAUUAAGUUAGGCACUCUGACGAGACUGCCUGGGUUAACCAGGAGGAAGGUGGAGAUGACGUCAAGUCCUCAUGGCCCUUAUGUCUAGGGCUACACACGUAAUACAAUGGCGCGUACAGAGGGAAGCGAACUCGCGAGGGGGAGCAAAUCUCAAAAAGCGCGUCUCAGUCCGGAUGGGAGUCUGCAACUCGACUCCAUGAAGUUGGAAUCGCUAGUA